rnacentral:rRNA from 1 species
AGAGUUUGAUCCUGGCUCAGGACGAACGCUGGCGGCGUGCUUAACACAUGCAAGUCGAACGGUAAGGCCUCUUCGGGGGUACACGAGUGGCGAACGGGUGAGUAACACGUGAGUAACCUGCCCUUGACUUUGGGAUAACAUCUGGAAACAGGUGCUAAUACCGGAUAUGAGCUUGUCCUGCAUGGGAUGGGUUGGAAAGCUCCGGCGGUCAUGGAUGGACUCGCGGCCUAUCAGCUUGUUGGUGAGGUAAUGGCUCACCAAGGCUUCGACGGGUAGCCGGCCUGAGAGGGCGACCGGCCACAUUGGGACUGAGAUACGGCCCAAACUCCUACGGGAGGCAGCAGUGGGGAAUAUUGCACAAUGGGCGGAAGCCUGAUGCAGCAACGCCGCGUGCGGGAUGACGGCCUUCGGGUUGUAAACCGCUUUCAGCAGGGACGAAGCGUGAGUGACGGUACCUGCAGAAGAAGCACCGGCUAACUACGUGCCAGCAGCCGCGGUGAUACGUAGGGUGCGAGCGUUGUCCGGAUUUAUUGGGCGUAAAGAGCUUGUAGGCGGUUUGUCGCGUCGGGAGUGGAAACUCAGGGCUUAACCCUGAGCCUGCUUCCGAUACGGGCAGACUUGAGGAAGGUAGGGGAGAAUGGAAUUCCUGGUGAAGCGGUGGAAUGCGUAGAUAUCAGGAGGAACACCAGUGGCGAAGGCGGUUCUCUGGACCUUUCCUGACGCUGAGAAGCGAAAGCGUGGGGAGCAAACAGGCUUAGAUACCCUGGUAGUCCACGCCGUAAACGGUGGGUACUAGGUGU